UACGGAAGGCAGCAGUGGGGAAUAUUGCACAAUGGGCGCAAGCCUGAUGCAGCCAUGCCGCGUGUAUGAAAAAGGCCUUCGGGUUGUAAAGUACUUUCAGUCGUGAGGAAGGUGUUAAGGUUAAUAACCUUAGCAAUUGACGUUAGCGACAGAAGAAGCACCGGCUAACUCCGUGCCAGCAGCCGCGGUAAUACGGAGGGUGCGAGCGUUAAUCGGAAUUACUGGGCGUAAAGGGCACGCAGGCGGUUAAUUAAGUUGGAUGUGAAAUCCCCGGGCUUAACCUGGGAAUGGCAUUCAAGACUGGUUAGCUAGAGUCUUGUAGAGGGGGUAGAAUUCCAUGUGUAGCGGUGAAAUGCGUAGAGAUGUGGAGGAAUACCGGUGGCGAAGGCGGCCCCUGGACAAAGGCUGACGCUCAUGUGCGAAAGCGUGGGGAGCGAAACAGGGAUUAGAUACC
rnacentral:rRNA from 1 species